AGAUUGCUCGCAGUAAAAUGCAAAUAGGAAAUAUGGAAUGAAUAGGAAACUUUGAAGCAAACCCGCUGAGAUUAUGUGGAACUUAAUGCAAAGCAGCAAAGAGUCAACAGUAAUAAAUGAUUAUAUUCCUGGAGAUUCUCCCCUGCAAGCAGCUGUCCUUUGCUCACCCCCUGCAAGCUCAGCUUGUCCCAAAGCUCUGCUGUUGCCUUUGACAGGUCCUUGGCUGUGCAGUGCCCUCCCCACAGCUGCAGAACCAUCUCUGUGCUCACCUGUCCUGCAUUGAUGGCUCCAAAACUCCAAAACAAGAAAACAGAGGGAAACAAUGGGAAUCACUGAUGUUUACCUGCCUUGGUUUCCCACAGCCUCACCUGCAGGUCAGGUGCUGCUGUGCUGCUUGAGCAUCCAGACACAGCCAGGAAAAUAUGUGAGGCUGCUUAAGAGACUUCUACAGGAGAUUCUGCUGUUGAUAAGUUGGAAAGAACAACCCAGGCAUUAAGAUAUUACUUCCAAGCAAUGCAACACCACAAAAGCGACCCACACACGUUCAGGCCUCCGCAGGUUUAGACUGAUGUUUUACUUGAAAUAACACUUUAUUGAUGUUUGGGAUCCCCCAAUUUCCAAGAAGAAAAGCUGAUUAUCUUGGGAGGCAGCCUUAUGGAGAGGAGCAGACCCCCCCCAGCCUUCCGCUCCAGCCUGGAUCAAUGCAGGGAAGUGCUCUUUGAUGGACUUUCAGGCCCUGUGAUCUCCCAGCCCUGCGGGUUUAAAGGAUGAGCAUAUCAAUCCAGGAGCACUGAACUGCAUUUCCAUUGCAUCGGGGCUCCUCCUCCCGCCUUUGUCCCGACAAACUCGGCUCCUCCUACUUUUGUCACUAUUCUUUCAUGCUUUGUUUAGCAAACACAAAAAAAGCUUUGUUUUGUUGCUGGGUCUUUUUUAAGCUUUGCAUAAAACAGUUUAAAGUGCCGUAAUGCUGUGUACCUGUGAUCACCUUCAGGGUCAAAAUCAGUUUACAACAGAUUAAC